rnacentral:lncRNA from 1 species
GGCAGCCUUGCCUACCAGGUAGGACUAGUACUCCAAACACACACGUACACAUGCAUGCACCGGGCAAAGUUCACUGACGACCCGAUCCACACUGAUCACCUCACCAACCAACUGACGUGUCUACGUUUCUGCAGACAUGCCCAUCGCGAGGAAGGUGUCGCUGCAGAGGUUCCUGGAGAAGAGGAAGAACAGGAUCGUCGUGGCGGAGCCACUGCCGGAGUCGGAGAAGAAGGAGGCGGAGUCGAGCAAGCGUGCCAAGAAAGACGAUGGCGGCGCGUCGUGGCUCCAGGUGAACCCCACUCUCAGCCUGUGAGCCGAAGAAACUGAAGAUAGCUGGAUCAAACAAGGAAAAAUUAAUUACUACUACUAGUAGUACUGUAUUGAUUUACCAUUUG